rnacentral:rRNA from 1 species
GACGAACGCUGGCGGCGUGCCUAAUACAUGCAAGUCGAACGAGAGCGACCGGUGCUUGCCCUGGUCAAUCUAGUGGCGAACGGGUGAGUAACACGUGGGUAACCUGCCCAUCAGAAGGGGAUAACAUCCGGAAACGGAUGCUAAAACCGCAUAGGUCUUCGAACCGCAUGGUUUGAAGAGGAAAAGAGGCGCAAGCUUCUGCUGAUGGAUGGACCCGCGGUGCAUUAGCUAGUUGGUGAGGUAACGGCUCACCAAGGCCGUGAUGCAUAGCCGACCUGAGAGGGUGAUCGGCCACAUUGGGACUGAGACACGGCCCAAACUCCUACGGGAGGCAGCAGUAGGGAAUCUUCCGCAAUGGACGCAAGUCUGACGGAGCAACGCCGCGUGAGUGAAGAAGGUUUUCGGAUCGUAAAACUCUGUUGUUAGAGAAGAACAAGUGCUAGAGUAACUGUUAGCGCCUUGACGGUAUCUAACCAGAAAGCCACGGCUAACUACGUG